GCCAUGCAUGUCUCAGUACAAGCCAAAUUAAGGUGAAACCGCAAAGGCUCAUUAAAUCAGUUAUGGUUCCUUAGAUCGUACCCACAUUACAUGGAUAACUGUGGUAAUUCUAGAGCUAAUACAUGCUUACAGAACUCUGACCGGAAACGGAAGGGGUGCCUUUAUUAGAUCAAAACCAAUCGGUGGCAUGGUUUCGGCUAUGUCAUCGUACAAUAUGGUGAAUCUGAAUAACGUUUGCUGAUCGCACGGUCUCGCACCGGCGACGUAUCUUUCAAAUGUCUGCCUUAUCAACUGUCGAUGGUAGGUUCUGCGCCUACCAUGGUUGUAACGGGUAACGGGGAAUCAGGGUUCGAUUCCGGAGAGGGAGCCUGAGAAACGGCUACCACAUCCAAGGAAGGCAGCAGGCGCGCAAAUUACCCACUCCCGGCACGGGGAGGUAGUGACGAAAAAUAACGAUACGGGACUCAUCCGAGGCCCCGUAAUCGGAAUGAGCACAGUUUAAAUCCUUUCACGAGGAUCAAUCGGAGGGCAAGUCAGGUGCCAGCAGCCGCGGUAAUUCCUGCUCCGAUAGCGUAU
rnacentral:rRNA from 1 species